GGACUGGCGAUUAGGACUAAGUCGUAACAAGGUAGCCGUACCGGAAGGUGCGGCUGGAUCACCUCCUUUCUAAGGAGCA
rnacentral:rRNA from 1 species